rnacentral:rRNA from 1 species
GUUCGGUCCCUAUCUGCCGUGGGCGCUGGAGAACGUAGGGGGCUGCUCCUAGUACGAGAGGACCGGAGUGGACGCAUCACUGGUGUUCGGGUUGUCAUGCCAAUGGCACUGCCCGGUAGCUAAAUGCGGAAGAGAUAAGUGCUGAAAGCAUCUAAGCACGAAACUUGCCCCGAGAUGAGUUCUCCCUGACUCCUUGAGAGUCCUGAAGGAACGUUGAAGACGACGACGUUGAUAGGCCGGGUGUGUAAGCGCAGCGAUGCGUUGAGCUAACCGGUACUAAUGAACCGUGAGGCUUAACCUUACAACGCCGAAGGUGUUU